rnacentral:rRNA from 1 species
CGAGGGGUAUAGUUCUUCGGAGCUAGAGACCGGCGCACGGGUGCGUAACGCGUAUGCAACCUACCUUUUACAGAGGGAUAGCCCAGAGAAAUUUGGAUUAAUACCUCAUAGUAUGUGAGAAUCGCAUGGUUUUCACAUUAAAGUCACAACGGUAAAAGAUGAGCAUGCGUCCCAUUAGCUUGUUGGUAAGGUAACGGCUUACCAAGGCAACGAUGGGUAGGGGUCCUGAGAGGGAGAUCCCCCACACUGGUACUGAGACACGGACCAGACUCCUACGGGAGGCAGCAGUGAGGAAUAUUGGACAAUGGGCGCAAGCCUGAUCCAGCCAUGCCGCGUGCAGGAUGACGGUCCUAUGGAUUGUAAACUGCUUUUGUACAGGAAGAAACACUCCCUCGUGAGGGAGCUUGACGGUACUGUAAGAAUAAGGAUCGGCUAACUCCGUGCCAGCAGCCGCGGUAAUACGGAGGAUCCAAGCGUUAUCCGGAAUCAUUGGGUUUAAAGGGUCCGUAGGCGGUUUAAUAAGUCAGUGGUGAAAGCCCAUCGCUCAACGGUGGAACGGCCAUUGAUACUGUUAAACUUGAAUUAUUAGGAAGUAACUAGAAUAUGUAGUGUAGCGGUGAAAUGCUUAGAGAUUACAUGGAAUACCAAUUGCGAAGGCAGGUUACUACUAAUGGAUUGACGCUGAUGGACGA